UACGUAGGGUGCGAGCGUUGUCCGGAAUUAUUGGGCGUAAAGAGCUCGUAGGCGGUUUGUCGCGUCGGCCGUGAAAUCUCCACGCUUAACGUGGAGCGUGCGGUCGAUACGGGCAGACUUGAGUUCGGUAGGGGAGACUGGAAUUCCUGGUGUAGCGGUGAAAUGCGCAGAUAUCAGGAGGAACACCGGUGGCGAAGGCGGCAUCCUGGACCGGUAUUGACGCGUGAGGCGCGGAAAGCCCAGGGGAGCAAACGGG
rnacentral:rRNA from 1 species